GCUGAUUUCACACUGUCAAGAAAAGUCUCUAUCGAGGUUAAAGGUACCCGUACCGCAAACCGACACAGGUGGGUGAGGAGAGUAUCCUAAGGCCAGCGAGAGAACUGUUGUUAAGGAACUCGGCAAAAUGACCCCGUAACUUAGGGAUAAGGGGUGCCACCAUCAGGUGGCCGCAGAGAAUAGGCCCAAGCGACUGUUUACCAAAAACAUAGGUUUCUGCUAAGUCGCAAGACGAUGUAUAGGAGCUGACGCCUGCCCGGUGCUGGAAGGUUAAGGGGAUCUGUUAGAGCAAUCGAAGCAGUGAACUUAAGCCCCAGUAAACGGCGGCCGUAACUAUAACGGUCCUAAGGUAGCGAAAUUCCUUGUCGGGUAAGUUCCGACCCGCACGAAAGGCGUAACGAUUUGGGCACUGUCUCAACAACAGACUCGGUGAAAUUGUAAUUCCGGUGAAGAUGCCGGAUACCUGCGACAGGACGGAAAGACCCCAUGGAGCUUUACUGUAGCUUGACAUUGGGUCUUGGUACUACAUGUACAGGAUAGGUGGGAGGCUUUGAAACCAGGACGCCAGUUUUGGCGGAGCCAUCCUUGGGAUACCACCCUUGUAGUACUGGGACUCUAACCAUAGGCCAUGAAUCUGGUCUUGGGACACUGUCAGGUGGGCAGUUUGACUGGGGCGGUCGCCUCCCAAAAGGUAACGGAGGCGCUCAAAGGUUCUCUCAGUACGGUCGGAAAUCGUACGUAGAGUGUAAAGGCAAAAGAGAGCUUGAUUGCAAGACAUACAGGUCGAGCAAGGAUGAAAAUCGGACUUAGUGAUCCGGUGGUUCUGCGUGGAAGGGCCAUCGCUCAACGGAUAAAAGCUACCCUGGGGAUAACAGGCUUAUCUCCCCCAAGAGUCCACAUCGACGGGGAGGUUUGGCACCUCGAUGUCGGCUCAUCACAUCCUGGGGCUGUAGUAGGUCCCAAGGGUUGGGCUGUUCGCCCAUUAAAGUGGUACGCGAGCUGGGUUCAGAACGUCGUGAGACAGUUCGGUCCCUAUCCGUCGCAGGCGUAGGAAAUUUGAGAAGACCUGUCCUUAGUACGAGAGGACCGGGAUGGACG
rnacentral:rRNA from 1 species